rnacentral:piRNA from 1 species
UGGAUCAAUCUAUAGCAAGGGGUGGAGAGC